rnacentral:misc_RNA from 1 species
GAUGAAGAACGUAACGAAAUGCGAUAAGUAAUGUGAAUUGCAGAAUUCAGUGAAUCAUCGAAUCUUUGAACGCACAUUGCGCCCCCUGGUAUUCCGGGGGGCAUGCCUGUUCGAGCGUCAUUUCACCACUCAAGCCUCGCUUGGUAUUGGGCAACGCGGUCCGCCGCGUGCCUCAAAUCGACCGGCUGGGUCUUCUGUCCCCUAAGCGUUGUGGAAACUUUCGCUAAAGGGUGUUCGGGAGGCUACGCCGUAAAACAACCCCAUUUCUAAGGUUGACCUCGGAUCAGGUAGGGAUACCCGCUGAACUUAAGCAUAUCAAUAAGCGGAGGA